rnacentral:lncRNA from 1 species
UUGUAAGCUGACCGUUUACUCUGUUAAAUAGUGAGGUUAAUCACUAGAGAAGCUAGACCGUGUGGUUACUCAAAUUGGGUUGACGGAUCAUCUAUUUCUCUUUCUUGGUUGCGCUAUUGGUCGAUCGAAGCAAAAAAUUUGUUGCCUUCCUCAUAUUUUCUAUGUAAAUCAAGCUUCUAAUCAUCAAGGUAUUCUCUGGUUUAUGCUUUUUUGAUCCAUAUGCAUAUUGGGUUUUCUCUCUUUCUCAUUUGAUAGCUUCGAUUUGUGAAAUCCACUUCUGAGCUGAUAUUCAAUGUUAGUUUGAAAAUGAUUCUUUCCUUUGGAAGAGAGGUGAACUUGGGCUCAAUGAUCAAUUGUGUUUCAGCUUAGAAAAUUGUGAACUUAGGCUCAAUCACCUAUAGCAUUUAGAAAAGAAGGUAUAUAAAAACGCAAUUUAGGAAAAAAAAAAAAGGAAGUUUAAAAAGGGGUUCCUAAGAUGCAUUUGCUGGUUUGGAAGAGGUAGAUUUUCCUUGUCGUGUAAAUGGGUGAACUCGAGUCUUAUAUAAUUAGGGGUAUUUAAAAAUGACCCAUAAUUUGCUUCAAUUUAUCCGUAGUUAAACUGAAAUUAUACAAGUGUUGAUAGAUUGGGUUGGGUUAUUAUUAUUUUUUCAGAUUGAAUUAUAUGUUUCUUAGUUAAAUCAAUAAUUUGACUCAAACCAAUUCUCAUUAUUCUCUGAUAAUGCUCUUACUCCUUUGCUUUUGUUUUAAUUUUAAUUACCCAAUUAAUGCUUCUCCAGCUUUUAAAAAAAAAUAUACAUCUAAUUGCUUUAGUAGCGAUCAUUUUAUUACUAGCUUGGCUUGAUGCAGCCAUUGAAAGCAUAUUACUCACUUGGUAGACUUAAGGUUGAGUUUCCACUCCAUUUAAUACCUUACACAAUCUUUUUUUUUUUUUAAGAAAAAAACACAACGAAUUUAUAUAUGGAAGAUUUACAAUUUAGUCUCUAGAUAUUGACAUUAUUAACAAGUCAGUCUUUACAUUUUUUAAAAUCUAUUAAAAUAUUCUCUGUCUUUUCUCUCCAUCAACGAAAUAGUCCUUCUGUCUAUUUCUGAUGUUAAAAAUAUAGCAAAAUAUCAAAUUAUCCCCCUUCUUCUCGUCCUCCUUCUUCUUCUCCUUCUAGGGACCAGGGACUAUUUUUGUUGACGCGGCGAAAUGAUAAAAACGUUUUAAUUGAUCAGGAAAAAGAUAAGGACGUUUUAUUAGAUUUCUGAAAAUGUAGGGACUAACUUGUUAAUAAUCACAAUACUCAAAGACUAAAUCAGAGAUUUUAUUUGAAAGCAAAAUUGGGUUUUAAAAUUUUUUUCUCUCAUCUUUCAUUUAUUUUUAAUGAAAAAGAGGACGGAAAAACUAUUUUAUUGACGGAGAGAAAAUAUAAGGACGUUUUAAUGGGUUUCUGAAAAUGCAGAGACUGAUUUGUUAAUAAUAAAACCGCGAUCACAGCCGCGGUCGGGGAUAACGGAAACAGGCCUGGCGCUACGCAAAUUUUUCAAAUCAAUUUGCAAAGUUCAUAAAAUGAUAUGAUAUCAAUAGAUUUAAUUCAGAACAAUGUAUACAAAUAUAUAAUAAACAUAAAUAUAUCAAAUAUAUACUAUUUAGCUUAAAUUAAAUACCAUAUGGGAAAUUACCAACCUCACUACCACCAAAAAGAACGUUGUGCAGGUUCUUGUUGGUCUUGACUUUGGCUUUCUGAACUUUGAUCAUUAAGGUGAUGCUGCUGAUGUUGAUAGUAUUGUUGUGGAUCAAAACUGAAUAAGGAACCACCACCCAUAAUAUCAUUAGGAUCACCAUAAGUUGGUUGAGGGUACGAUGAAGCUGACUUUGCUCCUGAUAAGGGGUAAUAUGAAUAUGUAAGAGGAUAAUUUGUUGGAUAUGGCACCCCUCUAAAUUGGCCAUAGAGCCCAUAAUUUGAUGAAGUAUCUUCAGAUGAUGAGCUACCACUUAGUCCACCACCAUACAUAAAAUUUGGAUUAUACGUGCAAAAGUCGUAUCCAUAAUUUAAUGAAUCAAUUGACCCCUCAUAUGCAACACCCUUACCCCAUGUUUGGGAUGUUUCAGCACCACCAGUACAAUUAUGAGAGCCUCGUGAUUUUUGAUAUGUACACAUCGGAAAUGGAUCAGAAGCAAUUCUAAUUCCACUUUGUCUUUGAGUAGGUGGAUCUUGUGAACUACGACUACCACCUCCUUCAACUGUUGUUCCUCUUCCACCUUGAUCACCACCACCAUCAUCAUCAUCACCAGCACCACCUUGUUGUCCUUGAGUUUGAGUGGCAGAUUCAGACUGUGAUGGAGCAUUUUUAUCAAUACCCACCUCUUCACCAUCCAACCAUGGAUUUGGUUGCCCAUCAAGCAAUAGAGAUUCACUUUCCUCCAACCAAGAGUUUAGCGGAUCAUCUUUGUAGAAAAAUAAUAUUUUGUUGUUAUAUUUCACAAUAGAGAUUACAACCUAUUUAUACAUGAGAGAUGAUAUCUAAACAGUAAGGAAAAUCAAGUCUAUGAUUAUACAAUUCUAAGAUUAAGCAACUGAUCCAUCUAUCAAUAUUUAGGUCCUAUAUUAACAUAUUUACUUCCUA